UCUAACCACAAGGUUUUUCUUUUGUUUAGAUGUACUAGCAAUUUAGACAUGUCAUUCAUAAAGGUUUCGGUUCAAGAAGAUGAUGAUGAAGAAGCUCAAGAAAAGUGGAUAAAUAUAUAUGGCUUCAAUAAAUCAGAUCACCGGAAUACCAAAGUAAGGCACAGGGUAAUUGAAUUCCAGUGGACAGUUGUUAGUCUGUCUAAUAUUGGAGAGGUCACGGAGGAGGUGCCUUACAGAUUCGAUUCUACUGGUCGACUAUGAUGACGAGGGAUCAGAGGAUUUGAUCUCCAAGAGAGGAGUGCGGCCUAGGCCAUUUUCAUCAAGCUGCCUUCUACUAUGCAGCCUGUGGUGGAUUGUUGAUAUGUCUCUGUAACUACGGUUCAGUAGCUGAGAGCCACAGGAAGAAGAAGCAUUCAGUAGAAGAAACAAGAAGCAGCACAAGGCAAUAUUUGCUCUUAGGGACGUUAUCAGUCACUCACACUCUUUAGCUAGGGAAGCACAUUUGCAUCGGAUUUUUAUUGAGGUAUAUAUGUGAAUUCUUUUGCUUUUGGGUUAACUGGUGCAAUUUUUGUAAGGAGGCAUUCUUGUACAUCGCUUCAGCUAAAUCCUCUUUUUUUUUUUUUUUUGUAUAUUCUAGAGCUGUGUACAUGU